rnacentral:rRNA from 1 species
CGUGCCAGCAGCCGGCGGUAAUACGGAGGGUGCAAGCGUUAUCCGGAAUCACUGGGUUUAAAGGGUGCGUAGGCGGUCUAAUAAGUCAGGUCGUGAAAUCGCUGGGCUCGAACCCAUGCAAUUGCGAUUGAUACUGCUAGACUUGAAUGGGGUUGAGGCUGGCGGAAUGCGACAUGUAGCGGUGAAAUGCUUAGAUAUGUCGCAGAACACCGAUUGCGAAGGCAGCCAGCUGGGCCUUUAUUGACGCUGAGGCACGAAAGCGUGGGGAGCAAACAGGAUUAGAUACCCUGGUAGUCCACGCCCUAAACGAUGCUCACUUGCUGUUCCUCUUUCGGGGGGAGUGGCGUAGGGAAACCGGUAAGUGAGCCACCUGGGGAUACGCCCGCAAGGGUGAAACUCAAA